UUGGAUAGCCUACACACGACAUUGAAGCCUGGCAGGUCACCUUUGCCACGGAUUAUUUUGAGCAAGUCGCACCAGCCAUCGAAGAAACCCCCUGCUGCAAGCAAGGAUGCAAGGCAGCUUAAGCGGAAGAGAAAGGCGGAGGCCCAACAUGCUCAGCUCUCAAGCAUUCUGUCGACUUUCAACCAAAAUGGCAAAGCAGCAGUGGAGUCCACACCCAGUACAGCCAUGUGAAGUUGUGGGAAAAAUGUGGUGGGAGAUGGAGAAUUGGUCCUCAAGCAGCUGUUGCGAGCCAAGGAAGAGGAGCUCAAAAUAGUAAAAGCGAAGCUCCGCAAGUCUGAAGCUUCCUGCAGGCGCCUUCACCUGGUUCUACUUGACAAGA